rnacentral:rRNA from 1 species
CCUACGGGGGGCAGCAGUGGGGAAUAUUGGACAAUGGGGGCAACCCUGAUCCAGCCAUGCCGCGUGUGUGAAGAAGGCCCUCGGGUUGUAAAGCACUUUCAGUGAGGAAGAACGCCUGGUGGUUAAUACCCAUCAGGAAAGACAUCACUCACAGAAGAAGCACCGGCUAACUCCGUGCCAGCAGCCGCGGUAAUACGGAGGGUGCGAGCGUUAAUCGGAAUUACUGGGCGUAAAGCGCGCGUAGGUGGCUUGAUAAGCCGGUUGUGAAAGCCCCGGGCUCAACCUGGGAACGGCAUCCGGAACUGUCAAGCUAUAGUGCAGGAGAGGAAGGUAGAAUUCCCGGUGUAGCGGUGAAAUGCGUAGAGAUCGGGAGGAAUACCAGUGGCGAAGGCGGCCCUCUGGACUGACACUGACACUGAGGUGCGAAAGCGUGGGUAGCAAACAGGAUUAGAUACCCUGGUAGUC